UACGGGGGGUGCGAGCGUUGUCCGGAAUCACUGGGCGUAAAGGGCGCGUAGGUGGUUUGAUAAGGGUGUGGUGAAAGUCCGGGGUUCAACCCCGGAUCUGCCGUGCCGACUGUCAAACUCGAGGACUGUAGAGGCAGACGGAAUUCCGGGUGUAGCGGUGGAAUGCGUAGAGAUCCGGAGGAAGACCGGUGGCGAAGGCGGUCUGCUGGGCAGUUUCUGACACUGAGGCGCGACAGCGUGGGGAGCAAACAGG
rnacentral:rRNA from 1 species